GCGCCGGUAGUCUAGCCUGGUAGGACGUCGGCCUGCCACGCCGGUGACCCGGGUUCAAAUCCCGGCCGGCGCACCA
rnacentral:tRNA from 1 species